rnacentral:rRNA from 1 species
CUAAGCAUAUCAAUAAGCGGAGGAAAAGAAACCAACCGGGAUUGCUCUAGUAACGGCGAGUGAAGCAGCAAUAGCUCAAAUUUGAAAUCUGGCGUCUUCGACGUCCGAGUUGUAAUUUGUAGAGGAUGCUUCUGAGUGGCCACCGACCUAAGUUCCUUGGAACAGGACGUCAUAGAGGGUGAGAAUCCCGUAUGCGGUCGGAAAGGCGCUCUAUACGUAGCUCCUUCGACGAGUCGAGUUGUUUGGGAAUGCAGCUCUAAAUGGGAGGUAAAUUUCUUCUAAAGCUAAAUAUUGGCCAGAGACCGAUAGCGCACAAGUAGAGUGAUCGAAAGAUGAAAAGCACUUUGGAAAGAGAGUUAAAAAGCACGUGAAAUUGUUAAAAGGGAAGGGAUUGCAACCAGACUUGCUCGCGGUGUUCCGCCGGUCUUCUGACCGGUCUACUCGCCGCGUUGCAGGCCAGCAUCGUCUGGUGCCGCUGGAUAAGACUUGAGGAAUGUAGCUCCCUUGGGAGUGUUAUAGCCUCUUGUGAUGCAGCGAGCGCCGGGGCGAGGUCCGCGCUUCGGCUAGGAUGCUGGCGUAAUGGUCGUAAUCCGCCCGUCUUGAAACACGGACCAAGGAGUCUAACAUCUAUGCGAGUGUUCGGGUGUCAAACCCCUACGCGUAAUGAAAGUGAACGGAGGUGAGAACCGCAAGGUGCAUCAUCGACCGAUCCUGAUGUCUUCGGAUGGAUUUGAGUAAGAGCAUAGCUGUUGGGACCCGAAAGAUGGUGAACUAUGCCUGAAUAGGGUGAAGCCAGAGGAAACUCUGGUGGAGGCUCGCAGCGGUUCUGACGUGCAAAUCGAUCGUCAAAUUUGGGUAUAGGGGCGAAAGACUAAUCGAACCAUCUAGUAGCUGGUUCCUGCCGAAGUU